UACGAAGGGGGCUAGCGUUGUUCGGAAUUACUGGGCGUAAAGGGCGCGUAGGCGGCCAUUCAAGUUAGGUGUGAAAGCCCUGGGCUCAACCUAGGAAUUGCACUUGAUACUGUUUGGCUUGAGUUCGGGAGAGGUGAGUGGAAUUCCCAGUGUAGAGGUGAAAUUCGUAGAUAUUGGGAAGAACACCAGUGGCGAAGGCGGCGACCUGGACGGACACUGACGCUGAGACGCGAAAGCGUGGGGAGCAAACAGG
rnacentral:rRNA from 1 species